rnacentral:snRNA from 1 species
AUUAGGCGAUCUGGCUGCAACACGUGUCACCCCGCCGAUCCAGGGUUGACUGGCGGAUCUGGCUGGUUAGGCAGGCAAGUGUCCCCUUCCUCCUUCACAGUUCCAUGUGUGUCCCUCCUGAAGCUGCGUGCUCGUUUGAAGAGGACGACCUUCCCCAGUAGAGGAGGACUGUUUUUCAAUCAAGGGUAUCGGAGUAGCUGGGCUCCCCUGCUAGGACUUCCAAACAAGCUCUCAAGAGCCUCCUGUGUACCGGGCACUGGGCGUGGCAUUGGGACGCACUGACUACAUACAGUAAAUGUGUUUAUCACACAGAUAUCU